rnacentral:tRNA from 1 species
GGGGGUGUAGCUCAGUUGGUUAGAGCGCAUGCCUGUCACGCAUGAGGCCGCGGGUUCGAGUCCCGUCACUCCCGCCA